AAAAGAAACCAACAGGGAUUCCCUUAGUAAGGGCGACUGAACAGGGAGGAGCCCAGCGCAUAAGCUCGACGACCCCCGCGGUCAAACGCGGGGUGUCUUCUGUGCUCUGUCGAGCGGUGUUGCGUAAGGAUCUCCCCCGCGUGGCGAGGUCGUGCGGGUUGAGCUCCGAGACUGUCAAGUUGAAGCUGUGAUCCUAUACCGCCCCAGACGGUGUUAGACCCAUGGCAAGGAGCGCCACCGUAAGGUGGUUAAGACCCCACGAGUACGCCUACUCCCCUUCUCUGGAGGGGAGGAGGGGUGAGACUCCGGUUGAGUCGGGUUGCCUGGAAUGGCAGCCUAAAGACAGGUGGUAAACUCCAUCUAAGGCUAAAUACUCGCACGAGA
rnacentral:rRNA from 1 species